rnacentral:rRNA from 1 species
CAGCCGCCGCGGUAAUACCGGCGGCCCGAGUGGCGGUCACUAUUAUUGGGCUUAAAGCGUCCGUAGCCGGGUUGGGAAGUCCUCCGGGAAAUCUGGCCGCUUAACGGUCAGAAUGCCGGAGGAUACUCCCAGCCUAGGGAGCGGGAGAGGCCGAGGGGAUUCCCGGAGUAGGGGGGAAAUCCUAUAAUCCCGGGAGGACCACCUGUGGCGAAGGCGCUCGGCUGGAACGCGUCCGACGGUGAGGGACGAAGGCCAGGGGAGCAAACCGGAUUAGAUACCCGGGUAGUCCUGGCUGUAAACGAUGCGGACUUUGUGUCGGACAAGCUAUGAGCUUGUCCGGUGCCGGAGGGAAACCGUUAAGUCCGCCGCCUGGGGAGUACGGCCGCAAGGCUGAAACUUAAAGGAAUAGGCGGG